rnacentral:lncRNA from 10 species
UCUCUUUCCUCAAAGUUAUUUUCAUAAAUAUAAGGAAAAAUAAAUUUGAGUUUCACUAUCCCCUUGGUGCCUUUCCCUGCUUAAGUAGCAGAAGCACACAAAGACCUCUAAUCUACAAACUUGAAAAUCAAGAAAGACUAUUGUUGAUUAAGAGUUGGUACAUGCUGUAAAGAUAGGGAAGGCUUAUUAACACAAUGUAGAGAUGAUGAAUGAGCCUGUUCAAGUGUAGAUAACAAUGAUAAGCUCAGAGCAGCAGAUAAAAAUGAAGAUCCUACCUCCCAGGAUGGCAUCUGGAAGUGGAUAGUAUUCUGCCAGCUUUGGAAACUGGAUGAAAAGCAAAUCUGGCAGAGGUACCCAUUUCAUUCCCAGCUUGCUCAGUAGCUGGUGAUUGGAAGAAACUCUGCAACAGUGUUCAAUCCCUGGACAGGAAACCCUCCUUCCAUGAUUCUUCUUUAACAUGGGUCUGAGAAAAAGAGAAAUACAGUAUUUUUUAAAAUGAAGAUGCUAGCCAACUCUCACCAGAACACAUACUUAAAUUGUUUUUCAGAUCUUGAGGAUGAUUUAACCUGAUCUGUCCUUUCAUUGAUUCCUCUUAAAACCAAGAGCUUGAGCUGGCUGGGUAGGGGUCCAGUUUUGGUCACAAAAGAAAGCCCCAAGCUAUUUAGAUCAGAACAGGAUUGAUGUAGUUCUAGAUUGGGUUGGGUAUCCUGCCAGUGGAACCAACUUAUCCUGGGCAAGUGUGAACAGAUUGAAAGCUUGUUCAUUGAAAUACAUAGCAUACUUCUCCUAGGGCAUUCAAAACAUUUCAAAGAAAGAGCCUCCAUGCAUAAGUGAAAUUGAGCAUAUAUACUAAUGAGAAGGUGUACAACUCACAAGAGGAUAAGGAAAGAGAUAAUAGCUCUCAACAUAUGUAUACUCUGUGACCCAAAUUUCUAUUCCUAAGUAAAUACCCAAGAAAAAGCAUACAGAAAAAACACGUACAAGAAGGUCCAUAGCAGUUUAGCCACCUGUUGUGCAUGUAUCUGACACAUAAUAGGUGCUCAAUAAAUGUAUAUAAUUGAACAUAUCUUUAUAUCCCACAUAUGGUUUCACAGGCCAAGUGACACAUACUAGUUGUGUCAUCAGUUCAUACUUCUAG